AGCUUUGUGCGGCAGCAGUAUCAUAGUCAAUGAGAUUUAUCUGAGGUGAGAUUAUUGCUAAUUGAAAACUUUUCCCAAUACCCCACCAUGUCAACUUGCAAUGUAGUUGGCACUAGCAAUUUUUGAAGGUCUCUACGGAAA